rnacentral:rRNA from 1 species
CAGUAGCCGCGGUAAUACGUAGGGUGCAAGCGUUGUCCGGAAUUAUUGGGCGUAAAGAGCUCGUAGGCGGUUUGUCGCGUCUGCUGUGAAAACGCGAGGCUCAACCUCGCGCCUGCAGUGGGUACGGGCAGACUAGAGUGUGGUAGGGGAGAUUGGAAUUCCUGGUGUAGCGGUGGAAUGCGCAGAUAUCAGGAGGAACACCGAUGGCGAAGGCAGAUCUCUGGGCCAUUACUGACGCUGAGGAGCGAAAGCGUGGGGAGCGAACAGGAUUAGAUACCCCCGUAGUCCCUGUCUCUUAUAC